rnacentral:rRNA from 1 species
AUUGAACGCUGGCGGCAGGCUAAACACAUGCAAGUCGAGCGAGCGGCGGACGGGUGAGUAAUGUCUGGGAAACUGCCUGAUGGAGGGGGAUAACUACUGGAAACGGUAGCUAAUACCGCAUACCAUCAGAUGUGCCCAGAUGGGAUUAGCUAGUAGGUGGGGUAAUGGCUCACAUAGGGGACGAUCCCUAGCUGGUCUGAGAGGAUGACCAGCGACACGUGAACUGAGACACGGUCCAGACUCCUACGGGAGGCGGCAGGGGGGCAUAGUGCACAAUGGGCGCAAUCCUGAUGCAGCCAUGCCGCGUGACUGAAGAAGGCCUUCGGGUUGUAAAGCACUUUCAGCGAGGAGGCGUUACUCGCAGAAGAAGCACCGGCUAACUCCGUGCCAGCCGCCGCGGUAAUAC